AAUCAGUACCCAAAAAGUAGAUUUCCAAAAGCUCAGCGAGCCCUGCUUUACAAAUUCAAGGAAAAUAUUUUCUUUUGGGAUCCUUUGUGUUGAGGAGUGCAAUCUGUUCACCUCGGAGCACGUGUCCUCUCUGCUACGAGGCGGCGGUCAGAGUUGAGAGGCUGUCAGCGGUGGCAGCACCUUACUUCGAAGUAGUCUUGAUCAAGGCCGCUCAUCUCCCCACGCCACUCCGCCCGUGACGGGACUACAGGACAGGCUGACAGGGUCACAGGCAUGAUGGAGUCAAUCCCUGCAGACUGAUUUUGGGCCAGAUGCACCCGGGUCAGAUGGAGGUGGAACACCAAUGACGGGCAACGGAAAAGAUCAACUCAACGGUUUUGACAAUUUUGGUGGACACGGUCCACUCUGGACAGAGGUACGCACGCAUCAUUACUAAAUUGAGUUGAUAGCACACUCCAGACUGGAGUGUACCUUUCCACCCCGCACACAUUGACUGAACAAUAACGUAAUUCAUAAAAAUAUCGACAUAGAAAAUAAUUUUCUAUUAAAUAGGAGUCACAAAGCGUAAGUUCAGAACUAGUGUCAACUUGUCAGAAAGUAGCUAAUCACUGAUUUGAAGUUUUACGAUCAUAUUUAUUACAGUCAGGAAACAUGUUGAAAAAAUGUAGCAAAGUGCUCUCUCACAUGAUUAUGAACAAGAUGUGACAAAACAGCCCAUGGUGAAAACCGCUUCAAAAUAUGCACACUCAAAUGGAAUUUUUACACAAACAUGUCGUGUUUUUCUUGCGCGUGUGGCUUUGCUGUUAAGCACAAAGAAAUAAUUUGUUACAACACUGCCGACAAGAAUGAAUGCAGACAAUAAGUGGCUUUCCAUCAGUUGAUCUGUUUUCAUCUUAAAUGGCCAUGAACAACUGCUCUGCAUAAUAUGCUGAUGUGCUUC